GUAGGGUGCGAGCGUUAUCCGGAAUCAUUGGGCGUAAAGAGCUCGUAGGCGGUUCAGCAAGUCGGCUGUGAAAUUCCGAGGCUCAACCUCGGAACUGCAGUCGAUACUGCUGUGACUCGAGUCCGGUAGAGGAGAAUGGAAUUCCCGGUGUAGCGGUGAAAUGCGCAGAUAUCGGGAGGAACACCAGUAGCGAAGGCGGUUCUCUGGGCCGGCACUGACGCUGAGGAGCGAAAGCGUGGGGGUAGCAAACAGGAUUAGAUACCCUGGUAGUCCACGCCGUAAACGUUGGAUACUAGGUGUGGGGUUCCGACCAACGGUCCCCGUGCCGAAGCUAACGCAUUAAGUAUCCCCGCCUGGGGAGUACGGCCGCAAGGCUA
rnacentral:rRNA from 1 species